GCCCGGGUGCCAUGAGGGCUCUGAGGCUGGCAGGUGAGUGCCCGGGUGCCAUGAGGGGUUUGAGGCUGGCAGGUGAGUGCCCGGGUGCCAUGAGGGCUCUGAGGCUGGCAGGUGAGUGCCCGGGUGCCAUGAGGGCUCUGAGGCUGGCAGGCUCCUGGACUCAGAACACCCAUUCCACACCUGGUAAGAAUAUAUCCACAGGUCCCUGCUGCUCCUCAGUGAAACCAUCCUCGGGGCAGAUCUUCAUCGGGUGUAGGAGAAACAGCAAAGCUGCUUCAUUCAGAUGUACCCACAUCUACUUCCCACUGUAGCUGUGCAAGCUACAUGUCUGCAUUCUGCUCUGCUCUGCCUCAGCUGAACUCUGCUGCAGAUGAAGGAGGAAGAUGUCCUGAUGAGAAGGAACGAAGAGGGAUGACAGCAGGAUCUUGUUGAGUUCACAUUGAUGCCGCUUCCUGAGUGCAUUUGUAUUGACAAAUUGGAGUUGUAACAGUGUCUGAGCAGAACUAAAGCAGUGGGAUAGAGGAUCAUGUACUUGCUCGAAAAUAAUUCCUGAUAAGAAAAAGAUAGAGCUGUCCAGUGUCGAAGGAUAGCCCAAAGACCUUAUAUUUUUUAAAGAUUCAGCAUUUAAAAAUGUUCUUCUGUGUUCAGCACUGCCCUCCUGCCUUGGCAGCCAUUCUCCACCUGCCAUGUAUCUCUAAUGUUUAGAGCAAGCCAGAUUGUCCUCUUAUCCUCUGUUGUAGAAGACUACAACAAGCUAAGCUCAUCACAAUUUUUGUGCCAGAUCAGUUCUCCCUUUUCAGGUGAUCUCAGAAAAACUAUUCUUCACCUGUUUCAGUUUAUACCCAUUGUUCUCUAAGGUGAGAUGUCAGGAAUGUGUAUAUCUAACAGGCUUUGAGGACCAGCACUAGAAUCACAGAAUAACAGGUUGGAAGGCACCUUAAAGAGGAUCUGGUCCAAUCUUUCUUGGGAAAGGCAUUGUCUAGACAAGAAUGUCCAGCAGCCAGUCAAGAUUAAUCUUAAAAGUGUCCAAUGUUGAGGAAUCUGCCACUUCUCUGGGGAGAUUAUUCCAAAGGUUAAUUGUUCUCACUGUGAAAAAUUUUCCUUACACGUCUAAUAGAAAUUUCCCAGGAUUAACUACACCCCUCAUCUUUUCCAUAUGACUCCUUGCAAAAAAGUGAAUAUUCCUCUUCUUUGUAGCCACCUUUUAAAUACAGGAACACGGUGCACACAAAUAGUUCCCUGUUCCUUGGUGUCCUUCCCCAUGUCAUGCUCAGAAAUGCCUAAAGGUAAGCACAGAUGUUUGGAGGAAUCUGAAAGUUAUACUGACUAUCUCAGCAUAUAUGAACCUGAUGCUAAAGAGCAUAUGGAAAAAAGGCUGUAAGAGAAAAUUGCUUUCAGAAAUGCUGACCAAAACCCAUGUCUACUGUUCCUUCUCUACACUUCUGCAGAUUUAUCUCAGGUUUCAUAGUGCCACUGGAUUUACAGGGCCAGGCUCUUGCACAGAACCAGAUGAUUGUUGUGGGUUCCUUCCAACUCAAACAUUCUGUCAUUCUACACAAUAUUGGGUGGGGUUUAAAUUACAAAUACAGUUGUAGCACCAAAUUUAUGCCAAAGCUCUCUUCCCCACAACUGAAGGGCUUCAAUUAACCCUUUCCUCCUACUCCUCCCUGCUCUGCCAGUUGGGAAUGGGCUCUGUGCAGAAAAGCUAGAACUCAGUCCUCAUAUAAUUGACAGCAAACAUAACUAUCAAAAUAGGUUUCAAAAUUAUUUUGUAGCUCCUGCAUUAUCUCCACUGCACAGCACCUACUGAGCUGUUACCAACAGCCAUGCUAGAGAAAAAAUAUUUUAAAAUUUCUUUUACCAAUGUGUCUGACAGAUUGACUGCAGAGCCUCAGCCCCUGUAACCUAGUAUCUCUGCAGUGAUUUCAGUGGUUUGAAAAGCACUUUGACCUGUUGAAAAGAUAGAUUUGUAAUAUCACGACUUAAAAAAAUCUAAAAAUAAGUUUUAUUUUACUUUUUAUGUGAAACUACCUUUUAAAAUUCACAUGUCACACAACACAAGACAACAAGAACAGAGGAGAAAAUGCAUAAUUUCUUUAGAAAAAAAAUUCCAAAGUUUUAAAAUUAACAUUACUGCCAAGAAAAGUGUUGCUCUGUGGCAGUAGGUACUCCUUCUUUCCCUAGAAAGUACUCUAAAUGUCCUAUGUUAUGGUUAUAGCAUUUCCCGUUCCAGCUGCUCAAUAUCCACAUCAUGAAAUAUACGCAUCUUGCAAAAAGGCUGUUGCUAUGGAGACCUCAAAUAUUUAAUUGGAGAAAAAAAUAGCUGAAUAAGCUUUCAUUUACAAGCCAACAAAAGGUGUUUGACAGCCUUAACUCAAGGAAUGCUUUCUUUUCUUUUGCUUCCCUUAUACUUCCUAUUUUAUUUUUUUUAUAUAUUCUCAAAACAAAUGUUUCUACUUAAUUUUCUAUUCUGUUUAUCUCUGUAUUUGAACAGGAAAGGUUUUUAGGAAAUCCAGAAUGAGGACUUAACACUUCUGAUGGGAAUGGUGGCUGUUCUAUGUCUCUUGUUACAGUGGUACUAAUGUUUGAAUGGGCUCAUUUUCUGCUUUAACCAGAAUAAAUCAGUACCCUGAGCACACAUAUUGCACAAUAUUAUGACUGCAGAAAAAAGUCUACAUUCCUCAUCUGUGAGCAAUUAUUCUCCCUUGCAAAUGGCUUCAACGUCUAGGACCCACCUGACGAGUUUGAGAUAAGUGAAUAUACUGCUUUUUAAAAAUACCCCAACAACUAUUUCUCAUUUACACAUAGAUGAGAUAAAUCAGCGGGGUUGAAGUUAAAUGGGGUUCUUUAAAAGUCUCAGCUCCAGCCUAUUUGGUUGACGAAGAGAAGUCUGUGCCCGUUUAACUUUUAUUUAAUUUUCAUUUAACAAGAGCAAUUGUGCAAAUCAACCAGAACCAUCACCUUUGUUUAGACUUUCAUGAGUUUCAAUUUUUUUUAAACCUGAGCUGAUUCAACCCUCUCAUUUGCAUUUCUUCCUUUCAGAAAAGUUCAAAUAUCUUCCCUAAGUAAUCUCUAGAAACCAAAACUAUGUUUCUUUCAGAGAUUUCAGAAGAAAUACUGUUUCCUGGCAACCUCUACACACAAGGAUUGGCAGAGUUCUGCUUCUCCCCUAACCAGCAAUGCUCCCUCCUAGAACAGCUGAUAAUUGCAGUGCAUCUGGGGCAAGAGAGAAACAUCAGCAGAGUUCUGGUCUGGAUUGCAAACCCCCAACAUGGAGCACAGUGGGUUACUCCAGGCCUGACUUAGCCUCUGGAUAGAUGGCUAACAGGGUGAAGCCAUGGCUCAGCCAUAUGGUGGAGCCUGAUGGUCACAUGUUCUACCAUAUGCUUUAAUACUGCUCGUAAAUGUCCUUAGCAAAUUAAUGAAAAAUUAAAGGGACACUUCACUAUAUCUACAGAUUUGAUCAGUAGGUUGGCUGAUUUGCCUCACUGCUAUUUUCAGUUCCUGGAUAAUUUCCUUCCAAAACUACUAGUAAAUCUACAGAAUAAAAAAGCAGUAUUUGUAGAACCAUAAAACCAUGAGAUCACUGAAUUUCAGUGUACUUAAAAAUACUCAAAUAUACCUAGAAAGGAAUUCACAGUUGUCACAGAAAUAGAAUAUUCACUUGGUGGUUCCUGAAUGCUUGAGAAACUUCAAAAGUUUGUUCAGUUUUUUUAUGAUCUCUUUAUUGGAUUUUGAACUAUCUGUUUAGUUGCUUAACACUUAAUACAGUAAAAAUUAUGUGAAAUUUUACUAAUACUCAUUGUAUCAGAGGACGGUUCAUAGCUUUUCAAUGAGAUUUUGUGUCUUGGAAAUAACCAGCUGUCUAGAGGAAGUCAAUGACAGUUCCAGAACUGCUUCCUCAAGGUAGAGGAAGCCACAUCGAGUACUGAAAUUAGCAGAGAGCCUUAGAAGCAAUUGGAGGAUACAGAAGAGAUGUUGAAAGCCUUUGUGUGGCUUCACUGGUAGACUCUGCAACUUUGUGAAUUUGCAGGUUGCUUUGGUGCUGUAUCAAUGACAAAAAAGUUUUAAAUCCCUAGAAAAUUAGUGUCAGUGCAUCCUGACAGAUGCACUCUUAGAGUGACUCUAAUAAGGAUUAAAAAAUAUUGACUUAUCCACCAAAAUCUGGUCCUUACAUGAGACAAUUUGUUUGGAAGGGGAAAAAUACAACAUAUGAACUUGACCAAGGAAAACCAGGCUUGAGGGACUUACUACAUGCUGAGACUCCUCAGUCACAAAAAAUAUUCCUCCAGAAUGGAACUGUGCUUAUCUGUUUUCCAGGGGUUUUGAGAGCUGCAUACACUCACUGUGCAUUGACACUGCUGCGUUGAAUAUUAGACUCUGCUGUACUCCCUCAUGAUGUGCUGGAAAAAGUAGCUCUUUUUCAUUGUCCUGUGUUCAUGGUUUUUUCAAAAGAAAUUCACAACUCAAACAAAUGGGAAUUAUGCCUCCCACUGUACCAUCAUGGGAACUGUUGAUGCACAUAGACAAGCAUUGCGAUAAAGGAUAAUAAAUGUAAACAAACGGCAAAUUGAAUAAAAAGCCUACAUCAGCUAUUCUGCAUGGAUCUCAUGAGCAGCUUCAUUUGUCUUUCACGAAGGGUCCCUGGUGUUCAAGUGGGUUCAUCCAUGUCCACAAGAGCUUGAACUACAUUGUGCAAACAUUCCAGGUUCAUGCUGUUUUUCUCCUCUGAUUACCCCAAGCAGACACACUCCAAGUGAAGCUGUGAAAAAAGGAAAGCUUAAAAGUCUCAAUGCCAGAUAUUAAGUACUUUGCUUUGUUUUCUCAGUUGUGAUAGUCUUGCUGGCUUCAGAUAAAUUUACCCUGUGUGCAGAAGGGCACAAAUAUAUUGCCCCAAAGUAGGCCCUGAGCACACCCUGUGUUUGGAUAAAGGCACGAACUCCCAGGUGCCAUUUCUAUCAGCCCCUGCAAUGGAAACUGUUCACCCCAAAUUAACCUGACUUUGCUGGGGAAGUGACUUGGAUAAUAAGGCUCAGGAGCAGACACAGAGAACACAGCAUCAACCUUGGACUAUUUGCUGCUGCAAGAAUUGAGCUCAGCAUGAUGUUUCACAAAGAUCCAGAUUUACCCCACCAUCUCCAGUACAGAGUUCUAACAGUAUUACCUGGUUAAAAAAAACCCCAAACCAACAAACAAUAGCAGCAAUGGUACUUCGUGCAAAUAAGAUAGAUCCUGAUGGAAAUUCCUUCUCCUCAUCUGAUUUUCAUUGAACUGCAUUUAAAUAUAACAACAUCUGGAUAAUAGAGAGACAUAUACACAGCUUCAAAAGAAGUUAUUUAUAGUGAAUUCAUGAAGAUUAUACCAACAUUAUAUAUUCCCUCUGUGUAUAGCUCCAUGUGUUCCUUGCUCUAUAUUUUCCUAGUGCUACUUUUCAGUAGAGAAUGUGUUAAAUAUAUAAGCAAGAAUUCAGAAAUCUUUAUUGAGAAAGCUGUAGCAAAACCCUUCGUAUUUUCUUGAAGCUGUAUGGCUUAAUAGUAUCUCUGCAGGUUGAAUAUUAAUGGUUUUGAAUGAAUUAAUUCAGAAAAAGACCAGUGACUUAAAAAAAAAUCAUAACAACCUGCAUCAUCAAACUAUGGAUUGCCAUUUUAAUAUUUGACUGAGGAAUGAUAGCUAGAAAUGUGCUUCAGCUUCAGUUUCCUUUAUUCUUGGCUUUAAUAUAUUGUAUGGUUGUGUUUUAGGCUCAUUUCCAUUCAACUUGUUUUUAGAGAGUCAGAAUAGUAGGAAAUGCAAAUGAAUAGUUUAAACUGUAGCAUUUUAAAAUUGCUAUGAAAUAAAAUCCACA